GCGAGUGCUUGGUCCGAGUUGGGCAAGUUGGUGUUUCUUAACUAUGAAAGUCUGAUACGCGUCCUCCCCUAAACUUCUGUUAGAACGGUGGGAAACAUUGCUCCCGUGAGAACGGUAUAGUGGACUUCAUCGCCACUGACCCACAUUUAUUAGGGUGUGACACGAACUUGUGGACAGAGUACCGAGCUGCUGCUUUGCCAGGUGGAUUUCUGGCUGCGGGCAAAGGACCCGACACAUCCG